AGUGAACGCUGGCGGUAGGCCUAACACAUGCAAGUCGAACGGUAGCACAGUAAGAGCUUGCUCUUACGGGUGGCGAGUGGCGGACGGGUGAGGAAUACAUCGGAAUCUACUUUUUCGUGGGGGAUAACGUAGGGAAACUUACGCUCAUACCGCAUACGACCUACGGGUGAAAGCAGGGGAUCUUCGGACCUUGCGCGAUUGAAUGAGCCGAUGUCGGAUUAGCUAGUUGGCGGGGUAAAGGCCCACCAAGGCGACGAUCCGUAGCUGGUCUGAGAGGAUGAUCGGCCACACUGGAACUGAGACACGGUCCAGACUCCUACGGGAGGCAGCAGUGGGGAAUAUUGGACAAUGGGCGCAAGCCUGAUCCAGCCAUACCGCGUGGGUGAAGAAGGCCUUCGGGUUGUAAAGCCCUUUUGUUGGGAAAGAAAAGCAGCAGGUUAAUACCCCGCUGUUCUGACGGUACCCAAAGAAUAAGCACCGGCUAACUUCGUG
rnacentral:rRNA from 1 species